rnacentral:miRNA from 1 species
CCGCGUGUGUGUGUGUGUGUAUCUAUCUAUCUAUCUAUCUAUCUAUAUAUAUAUAUAUAUAUAGAUAGAUAGAUACACACACACACACACACUGCU